UUGGGGCAGAUGAGGAAUCCAUAUUUUUUAAUGGGUAAUUUGCAUAUGAAGCAUCAUGGUGAUGUUACAUCUUCUAUCACCUUGGAGAUCUGAUGCCCCUU